CGCUGGCGGCAUGCCUUACACAUGCAAGUCGAACGGUAACGCGGGGCAACCUGGCGACGAGUGGCGAACGGGUGAGUAAUGCAUCGGAACGUGCCCAGUAGUGGGGGAUAGCCCGGCGAAAGCCGGAUUAAUACCGCAUACGACCUACGGGUGAAAGGGGGGGAUCGCAAGACCUCUCGCUAUUGGAGCGGCCGAUGUCAGAUUAGCUAGUUGGUGGGGUAAAAGCCUACCAAGGCGACGAUCUGUAGCUGGUCUGAGAGGACGACCAGCCACACUGGGACUGAGACACGGCCCAGACUCCUACGGGAGGCAGCAGUGGGGAAUCUUGGACAAUGGGCGAAAGCCUGAUCCAGCCAUGCCGCGUGCGGGAAGAAGGCCUUCGGGUUGUAAACCGCUUUUGUCAGGGAAGAAAUCCUUUGGGCUAAUACCCCUGGGGGAUGACGGUACCUGAAGAAUAAGCACCGGCU
rnacentral:rRNA from 1 species